CCGUGACCCCGGAAGUAGGGUACCGGAUUUAGUGCAAGCUCUUUGUUGUCUUGAAUGUUGAUUUUCUCUACAGUAGGGUUUGACAACCUACUGUCAGAGGGCGUGGCGGUAGGGUCCUAGAAUAAUCAGUAAAUAAACUCUAAUAGACUCUUUUUGCAAUAAAACAAUCAAACAUAACAUAAAAUAACCAGGCUUGAGGAGUUGUCAAAUAAUUCCGACAUAGUUCAUUACAUUGAAGAGUUUAAGUGAGAAGGAUACAAGUCAUUACAAUCUUGUUCUACACCGGCAACCAAUCUCUAAUAUGUUUAAUACGUUCAAUUUAUUCAUCACACUCACGAUUAGGCUC
rnacentral:lncRNA from 1 species